rnacentral:rRNA from 1 species
AUGGGGAUCUCCAAGGUGACGGGCAUCGCGGCGACGGCGCUCCUCGUCUCGUCCCUCGCCCUGCGGCAGGCCGGCGUGAGGGCCGCCGCCACGGCCCCCAUCCUCGCCACCAGCUGCGUCGCCUACGUCGUCACCGUCGCGUCCCACACCGCCGUCAACGUGCCGUGGAUCCUGGGCAAGACCCCGUCUGGCCGGUUCCCCCUCUGGUCGGCCGUGCUCUUCGGCCCCUUCCUGAUGCUGGCACGCACGUACGCCAAGGUGAAGAGGUUCCUCAGGAAGGAGAACGUGUACGACGAGAUCGCCCAGGGGCUCUACCUCGGGGGCUGGCCGUUCAUGGCAAAGCACCUGCCUCCCGGGGAUCCGUCCGUCGUGGAUUGCACGUGUGAGCUGCCGAGGAGCUCGUUUGUGAAGGUGGAUGAGUAUGUCUGUCUUGCUACUUGGGAUACCAGGGCCCCGUUACCGUCCCAGAUCGAAUUCGCGGCGCGGUGGGCCUGCGAGAAGAGAGCCCAGGGGAAGCCCGUCUAUGUCCACUGCGCAUUUGGUCAUGGAAGAAGUGCCUGUGUCAUGUGCGCAAUUCUAGUGGCGACCGGCGUCGCUGAAAACUGGAAAGACGCUGAAAACAUCAUCCGAGGAAGGAGGAAGAUCAAAAUGAACGCUCUUCACCGCAAAACUUUGGAAGAUUGGUCCAAAAGUCGAGUUGUCCAGAAAAAGGAUAAUUAG